UAAGAAGAGACGAGGCAAAUUUUAAAAUCCUUCGUGGCAGCACUUACAUCUGCAGUCAGCACUUCUCUUCAGAGGAGACCUACGUUUCUGCAAGUGGUCGAAAGAAGUUAAAGAAGGGAGCAGUACCAUCUAAAUUCCCGUGGAAUGAUUGGGGCAAAGGAAGAGGUGAGCAAUCUGCAAAGCGAUGCCUGUUCCAGGGAGCAGCACAGAGGAUUGAUCCCACCUGGAGGCAGUGCAAAAUGAUCAUGACUACAGCUGCCAUCCCUCUCCUGGUAAAAUGGACAGAGCUGCUAGGAAGAUUCAGCAGUUGGAGGUGGAAAUCUUGACACUUCAACACAAAAUCCAGCAGCUGACAUUUAAAAAUCAGGAGCCAUUAAUUUAAAAAAUUUUGUCUGACCGACAAGGACUACCAUUACUACACAAGAUUCAGCUCCAAGAAGGUCUUCACUCUGUUUUGGGUGGCUGUUAACCCGUCUGCAUCAAGGCUUAUUUAUUGGUCCAAAGCACAGCAUGCAGCAGAAGUGACAGCAAGUCCACAGCAAAAGCUUGAACUGAUUGAUAAACUGUUCAUGUUUCUCUGUUGUGUUGCAGCUGGGCUGCAGGAGAGGACAUUGUCAUCUCUCUUUGAGGUCAGCUUGUCGUCUGUUAGUCGCAUCAUCCUUACAUGGACAAGCUACCUUUAUCAGGUUUUGGGCUCAUUACCAUCUUGGAUGACAAGAGAGCAGGUACAGGCCACGAUGCCUGACAAGUUCAGGCUCUUUUGUCCUCAGCUGAGAGUCAUCAUAGACUGCACUGAGAUCCGCCGUGAAACCGCAGCUUCCCUCUGCUUACAGUGAGAAACUUUUUCAAGCUACAAAAAUCACACCACAUUUAAAGGACUCAUUGGUGUAGCUCCAUGUGGUGUUAUCACUAUUUGUUUCUACACUAUACACAGGCUCUAUUUCAGACAUAGAAAUAACAAAGAAAUCCCACCUUCUACAGCUACUCCAGCCAGGGGAUGAAGUAAUGGCUGACAAGGGUUUCCUGAUUGAUAAAAUGCUAUAAGAGGUGGGGGUAAAACUCAUCACCCCACCAUUAAACAAAUCAACCCAGCUCAGCAAACCAGACACUCAGAAGACCCAGGCCAUCGCCGUUUGAGGAUUCUUUAGUUUUAUUACUUUUGCAUGCUUCUUGUGAGGAGCUCAAAUGGGAUUGUGCUUACAGCCCCCUCCCAGUUUUAAUCAUUAUCUUUCUUCAUCAUAACAUUAAAAAAGACCAGUUCCACAUUGUUUUAAUGUUGAUUGUGAAUCAGUUUGUAAUUGUAUGUCUGUAGAAGCUUGCCUUCAAAGUUUCACUUAGUAAAUAGUAAAAAGUUUCACUUAGGAAACAUUACUUUAAGAUCAGAUAUAUUUAAAUAAACAAUAGAAAUGAAAAUAUUUUUGACUGCUUCUGUUAUACGCAUCUGAAAUUACUUUUGUUUAGGUAACACUUUAUUGGUGCAUAAGAUUUACAUGAUACUAACAUAAACAGGGGCUGCACACACGCGCA